GUUGUUGGGGUAACGGCCCAACAAGCCUUUGAUCGGUACGGGUUGUGGGAGCAAGAGCCCGGAGAUGGAUUCUGAGACACGAAUCCAGGCCCUACGGGGCGCAGCAGGCGCGAAAACUUUACAAUGCGGGAAACCGUGAUAAGGGAACUCCGAGUGUCCGUAAAUGCGGACUGUUCGUAUGUUUAAAAAGCAUGCGAAGAAAGGGCCGGGCAAGACCGGUGCCAGCCGCCGCGGUAAUACCGGCGGCUCGAGUGGUGGCCACUAUUACUGGGCUUAAAGCGUUCGUAGCUGGGUUGUUAAGUCUCUUGGGAAAUCUACCGGCUUAACCGAUAGGCGUCCAAGGGAUACUGGCAAUCUAGGGACCGGGAGAGGUGAGGGGUACUUCAGGGGUAGGAGUGAAAUCCUGUAAUCCUUGGGGGACCACCUGUGGCGUAGGCGCCUCACCAGAACGGCUCCGACAGUGAGGGACGAAAGCUGGGGGAGCAAACCAGAUUAGAUACCCGGGUAGUCCCAGCCGUAAACGAUGCGCGUUAGGUGUAUCGAUGACCACGAGUCAUCGAGGUGCCGAAGGGAAACCGUGAAACGCGCCGCCUGGGAAGUACGGUCGCAAGGCUGAAACUUAAAGGAAUUGGCGGGGGAGCAC
rnacentral:rRNA from 1 species